UUUUAGGUUUAUAUUCUCUUUUAUAAUCUCUAUCUCUUAUUUCUUUUUGUUUUAUUUUGAAACAGGUUCUCACUGUGUAGCCCAGGCUAGCCUUGAACUUGGAUCCUUCUGCCACAGCUUUUUUAAGUUCAGGCAUUGUAGCCAUCCUGGGUAUGAAAGCUCUUUCUUAAUUAGAAUUACAUUGUACUCUUUAGGUCUGUAUUAUUUAUUUUUUCUAGCUUUUUUUCAUAGUGCUGGGUAUUGAACCCAUGGCAUUGUGCAUUUAUCCAGCAUUUCUUUCUGGCUCAGUGAAGUGAACUUCUCUGUUCCACAAUGUUUUCCCUGUCCUUAUGAAUUGACUUCUCUGAAACUGUGAGAUUGCAUGAAUUUUUUCACUUAAAAAAAAAAAGAAAAAUGUGGUUAGGUUUAUUCCUAAUCUCUAAGAGUUUAAAUGUAGACUAGCCAGUGUAUACCUGUCAUCUCAGUGGAGAUAGGAGUUCACGCCAGCCUUUCUCACAUAGCAAGGUUGAGCCAGCUGUGGCUGUAUAGUGAAACAUUGUAUCAAAGAGGAGGGAAAGUUGUUAAUGUGCCUUUAGUUUUUUUUCCCUUGGUCCUAAUAACUAGUUAACACCAUUUAUUCAUUAACUAGUCCUUUAAACUUCAUUCUACAUUAUCCCUGUAGGUUGUAAAGAUAUAACACUUUCUUGUAAUACUUUAUGGAUUAAUUUUAUGUAAAUUCUACUAUCAAGUAAGUGCUUAAUACUUUAUCUUUGUCAUCAUUGUAGAGAUACUAUUGUUUUAGCUCAAAUAAUCCUGAGUGAAAGGCCAGAGGUUCUUCUCAACUUUCCUAAUGCUAGAACCCUUUAAUAUAGUUCCUUAUGUUAUAGUGACCCCCAACCAUAAAAUUAUUUUAUUGCUACUUCAGUACUAUAAUUUUGCUACUGCUAUAAAUCAUAAUGUAAAUAUCUGAUAUGCAUGAUAUCUGAUAUAUGGUGAAAAGGUUAGCUCCAGGACUGUGGGAAGGUCAUGGAACACUUGCCCUUCCGGAAGGGAGAGGCUAAUUAACAUUCCUCACACCACAGAAGGGGAACGACCUGCAGGUGGGGGACACAUUCCUGACACAUACCUUCCAAAGGUCUAGACUGUUGCCCACCUUCAGACAAGGGAAGUCCUUUCACCUCAUUCCUUAAAGACCAAUCAGUUUAAAAAGUCACACUCUUCUGCCAGUUACAUUGUGCCUAAUGGCUGCUGCCCUGAAAACUAUAAAAAACUCACUGAAUGAGUUGUGUGGGGGUCACCAUUUCACCUUCGGUGCAGGACAACCCCAAUGUGUUGGACCAAUAAAUUCCUCUUGCUUUUUGCAUUGAUUCCAGCUCCACGUGGUUCACUCAGGGGGUCCCUGGUUAGCUAAGGCUUGUCAGAGUCUUACAAUUGUCCUUGUGAGAGGUGCAUUCUGUCCCUAAAAGUGUCACACGUCACAGGUUGAGAACUGUUGCUCUGGGCCUUCAGUUUAGUCUAAUUUGAAUUUGUCACAGAUGGUUGUUUUAUUAUAAGAUUUAUUUUUAAAUUUACUUAGUAUGUAUGUGUCAUAGAGCAGCCUCAGCUUGGAGAGGGAUUCUGAGGAAGGGGAUAUUUGGGAACAGUGAAAGAACAACUGGAAGUCAAUAACGAGGCACAGCCUGUAUUCUGCUUGAAAAAGCUUUCUCUGGAGAUCUCCAGACAGCUCAUCCAGAUAGUUCGGCUCUCACAGACCAAAGCCCAUCAGUUCAGUCAUUCACUCCAGGUUCCCUUUUGGUUAUCUCACAAAUAGGCAUUCUAUGACCCCAAUUCUUUGUUUCUUAGAAGAGACAGCAAUCACAUUUUUUUUAAUAUUGCAAAUGAAUUCAGAGAUCUGCCUGCCUUUGUAAACACAGAUAAUCACCUAGCUGGGUGGGAUCUGGCUCUAAUAUCACCAUUCCCCAAAUUUCUUUAUCCCCUUCCAUAAUAUCUUUCUGACAAGCUGGCUUAUAGUGCAGCUGCCUUUGUUCUUUUAUGUCCGUGAAGCCUCUCGUAUACUUCAUAUUGCAUCCUUCCUUAUGUUUUGCAUAGUUGAGAAAUUAUAUUUUUGAAUUCAUGUUCAAAGAGUUCUUUCCCACAGCCUUAAGGACUAUCCUGAAGAUCACAGUGUUUACCUUUCUUGCUAAGGACAUAGACACACCCUUGUCUCCCUGACUCAUGCUGUCUCUGGUUAUCCUGGAUUCAUUAACUUUGGCAGAAAGGACAUUUCCCAGAAGGAGGAACAUAAAAUACACAAAGAAGAGUCUGUGCACCUCAUGGAGGCCCACACCCUGCUGGCUCUGUUCUAGAGGUGGCUACCAUGCCACACCAUCCCUUCCAUGGACAUGCAGGACUCAGCAUGUAUGUGUAUGCAUGUGCACAUGAUAUAGUAUGCCUUUGGCUAUCAGAGGACAGCUUGCUAGAAUUGGCCCUUACCCUCUGUAUAAUGCAGUAUCUCUUAAGAUGUUUUACAUGUGUGGGAGGAGGUAAUAGCUGAAAUUCCAGAUGAGGGAUUCAUAAGCCUCCUUUUUCACCUUUACAAGCUGUUACCCUUUUACUCUGUUUUAGUUAUUAUGGCAAUGGGACAAAGUCCAAGAUGGUAACAUAUCAUACAGAGAUAAAAACGACUGUGCAAAUGGUCAAUAUUAAAACG
rnacentral:lncRNA from 1 species